CCGCACAAGCGGUGGAGCAUGUGGUUAAUUCGAUGCAACGCGAAGAACCUUACCAGGUCUUGACAUCCCUGACAACCAAGAGAUUGGGCGUUCCCCUUCGGGGGACAGGGUGACAGGUGGUGCAUGGUUGUCGUCAGCUCGUGUCGUGAGAUGUUGGGUUAAGUCCCGCAACGAGCGCAACCCUCGCCUCUAGUUGCCAGCAUUCGGUUGGGCACUCUAGAGGGACUGCCGGCGACAAGUCGGAGGAAGUGGGAUGACGUCAAAUCAUCAUGCCCCUUAUGACCUGGGCUACACACGUGCUACAAUGGGCGGUACAAAGGGCUGCGAACCCGCGAGGGGGAGCGAAUCCCAAAAAGCCGCUCUCAGUUCGGAUUGCAGGCUGCAACUCGCCUGCAUGAAGCCGGAAUCGCUAGUAAUCGCGGAUCAGCAUGCCGCGGUGAAUACGUUCCCGGGCCUU
rnacentral:rRNA from 1 species